rnacentral:rRNA from 1 species
CCUACGGGGGGCAGCAGUGAGGAAUAUUGGUCAAUGGACGAGAGUCUGAACCAGCCAAGUAGCGUGAAGGAUGACUGCCCUAUGGGUUGUAAACUUCUUUUAUAUGGGAAUAAAAUGUUCCACGUGUGGGAUUUUGUAUGUACCAUAUGAAUAAGGAUCGGCUAACUCCGUGCCAGCAGCCGCGGUAAUACGGAGGAUCCGAUCGUUAUCCGGAUUUAUUGGGUUUAAAGGGAGCGUAGGUGGGUUGUUAAGUCAGUUGUGAAAGUUUGCGGCUCAACCGUAAAAUUGCAGUUGAAACUGGCAGUCUUGAGUACAGUAGAGGUGGGCGGAAUUCGUGGUGUAGGGGUGAAAUGCUUAGAGAUCACGAAGAACUCCGAUUGCGAAGGCAGCCUGCUGGACUGCGACUGACGUUGAGGCGCGAAAGCGUGGGUAGCAAACAGGAUUAGAUACCCCGGUAGUC